GUCAGCUCAGAUUUGUUGCACUGAAAGAUUCUGGAGUGAGACCUGAACCUGUGCAACCUUCUAACUCAGAGCUCAGUGUUGUAUAACUGACACACUAUUAAGCAGUGAGAAAUUUAAUAAUAGGUGCAAAUGAAAUAUUUAGUGAUGUCAUAAGCAAUUUUUGAAUUCGUGUUGAAGCCGAUAUGAACUCAAAGAACAUUAGGGAAAUGGAUGUGCAUUUGUUGUCAGCACUGAACAACCAUGGAUGGACUGGAAAACAAAUAGCAGUAUUUGAACAGUCCACAUAUUCUAUUCAUGGCUUUUGAGCAGAAGCAAUUGCAACAGAGAGGAAACAUUAGCGGAUGUAUGCUAACGAGUGUCGUUAAGUAAUGCAUUGAUGCCGAGGCUAAUUUUAUUACUCCAUCCACGAAUACUCCAUUGAUAAUGCCGAUUGGAAGAAGUACGAAUCAAAAGUUUCACAUUGUCCAGUUUCUUAUCCAGCAUGACAUUUAAUUUACUAUUAGGAUAAAGAAGAAAAUAUGUGUCAAUGACAGUGUUAAGUAGUACCUGGAAGUACUCAGGGAUGCGCUCAUAAGAACAGGGUACGAUGCUCAACUCAUCGACCG